rnacentral:sRNA from 1 species
UAUCGGCUGUGUUCUUCCUGCAAAAAAG